AGACCCAGUCAGGACACAGCAUGGACAUGAGGGUCCCCACUCAGCUCCUGGGGCUCCUUCUGCUCUGGCUCCCAGGUGCCAGAUGUGACAUCCAGAUGACCCAGUCUCCAUCUUCCUUAUCUGCAUCUGUAGGAGACAGAGUCACCAUCACUUGUCGGGCUAGUCAGACCAUUAGCAGUUAUUUAGCUUGGUAUCAGCAGAAACCAGGGAAAGUACCUAAGCUCCUGAUCUAUGCUGCAUCCAGUUUGGAAAGUGGGAUCCCAUCUCGGUUCAGUGGCAGUGGAUCUGGGACAGAAUUCACUCUCACCAUCAGCAGCCUGCAGCCUGAAGAUUUUGCAACUUAUUACUGUCAACAGCAUAAUAGUCACCCUCCCACAGUGUUACACACCCGAACAUAAACCCCCAGGGAAGCAGAUGUGUGAGGCUGGGCUGCCCCAGCUGCUCCUCCUGAUGCCUCCAUGGGCUGAGAGUGUUCCUCAGAUGCAGCCAC